UCACGCCACCCACCCUGUGCU
rnacentral:miRNA from 1 species